rnacentral:rRNA from 1 species
AUACGGAGGGUGCGAGCGUUAAUCGGAAUUACUGGGCGUAAAGCGCGCGUAGGCGGCGAGGUCAGUCGGAUGUGAAAGCCCCGGGCUUAACCUGGGAAUUGCAUUCGAUACUGCCUGGCUAGAGUAUGAGAGAGGGAAGCGGAAUUUCCGGUGUAGCGGUGAAAUGCGUAGAUAUCGGAAGGAACACCAGUGGCGAAGGCGGCUUCCUGGCUCAAUACUGACGCUGAGGUGCGAAAGCGUGGGGAGCAAACAGGAUUAGAUACCCUAGUAGUCC